rnacentral:rRNA from 1 species
UACGUAGGAGGCGAGCGUUGUCCGGAUUUACUGGGCGUAAAGCGCGCGCAGGCGGCACUUCAAGUAAGGUGUGAAAUCUCCCUGCUCAACGGGGAGGGUGCACUUUAGACUGGGGAGCUAGAGGACGGUAGAGGGGGGUGGAAUUGCUGGUGUAGCGGUGAAAUGCGUAGAGAUCAGCAGGAACACCCGUGGCGAAGGCGGCUCUCUGGGACGGUACUGACGCUGAGACGCGAAAGCGUGGGGAGCGAACAGG